rnacentral:rRNA from 1 species
AUACGGAGGGUGCAAGCGUUAAUCGGAAUUACUGGGCGUAAAGCGCGCGUAGGCGGCUAAGUAAGUCGGAUGUGAAAGCCCUGGGCUCAACCUGGGAAUUGCAUUCGAAACUGGCAGGCUAGAGUAUAGUAGAGGCAAGUGGAAUUCCGGGUGUAGCGGUGAAAUGCGUAGAUAUCCGGAGGAACAUCAGUGGCGAAGGCGACUUGCUGGACUAAUACUGACGCUGAGGAGCGAAAGCGUGGGGAGCAAACGGGAUUAGAAACCCGAGUAGUCC